UAAUUCUCUGAGAAAGAGUUGAAGUGUGUAUUUAUGAAUCUGAGACUACUCACCAAAGCAUUUUAAGCUCUUUAGCAGAGGCGGAAUGAAGUCACAUGGCCUGUUUUCUGGUUAAUAGCUCAUAAUACUCCAGGACUUGGCGUGGGGGCGGGGAGCGGGGCUCACAGCUCCAGAAACUGGCCUUUCGGAGGAGAGAUGCCCUUCUAGGUAAACGCCCACCUUUGUGGGAGGCACUUUGCUCCAGGUGCCGUGCAUGAACCCGGCCCUUGAGGAGCUGACCUUUCCCCUCUCUGGGACUCAAUUUCUCCAUCUGUACAUGCAGGUGCCUGAGUGAGGUCAUCUCCCCAGUCCCAUCCAGCUCUGAGCAUCCUGCAGCACCCGGGGGAUGAUGAAGAUGGAUCAUUAUUUCAGUAUUACCAGAGGGCAACUUUUUCACGGGCAUCUUUUAGAAAGGCCGAAAGACGCUGAGAACGUGACGCGGGCCAGGUGCCUGCAUUCAAAUGCUGCCUCUGCCCUGUCCUGGCUGGGUGACCCGGGCAAGUUCUUAGCCACCCCGUGACCCUUGGUUUCCACAUCUGUGAAGUGAGGAUGCUCAGAGAACGACUGGUCUUAAUUCAGGACACCAAGCACUCAGGAUGGACUCAGCCCAGAGUCAGGGCUCCAUAAAUGUUACCUUUUAUUGUCCUUAUUGCUGUCUGGUUAUUUUUAUUACCUGCUGCUGUACUAGAGUUCGUUAAUGUGACAUGUAUUACAUAAACCCCAAUGGUGGAUAUGA